rnacentral:rRNA from 1 species
UACGUAGGGUGCGAGCGUUGUCCGGAAUUAUUGGGCGUAAAGGGCUCGUAGGCGGUUUGUCGCGUCAGGAGUGAAAACUCGGGGCUUAACCCCGAGCCUGCUUCUGAUACGGGCAGACUAGAGGUAUGCAGGGGGAGAACGGAAUUCCUGGUGUAGCGGUGAAAUGCGCAGAUAUCAGGAGGAACACCGGUGGCGAAGGCGGUUCUCUGGGCCUUACCUGACACUGAGGAGCGAAAGCGUGGGGAGCGAACAGG